rnacentral:rRNA from 1 species
AGACACGCACGAAGGAGUCUAGCAUGUGCGCGAGUCAUUGGGACGAACCUAAUCCUAAAGGCGCAAUGAAAGUGAAGGCGAGCUUCGCGCUCGCCAAGGGAAGAUGGGCGACCCGUCGAGGUCGCCCCGCACUCUGGGGGCGUCUCGUUCUCAUCGCGAGAAGAGGCGCACCAAGAGCGUACACGCUGGGACCCGAAAGAUGGUGAACUAUGCCUGGUCAGGACGAAGUCAGGGGAAACCCUGAUGGAGGUCCGUAGCGAUUCUGACGUGCAAAUCGAUCGUCGGAACUGGGUAUAGGGGCGAAAGACUAAUCGAACCAUCUAGUAGCUGGUUCCCUCCGAAGUUUCCCUCAGGAUAGCUGGCGCUCGUCGCGCACGAGUCUCAUCCGGUAAAGCGAAUGAUUAGAGGCAUUGGGGUCGAAACGGCCUCAACCUAUUCUCAAACUUUAAAUGGGUGAGAUCUCCGGCUUGCUCGAACUAUUGAAGCCGCGAGACACGGAUCAGAGUGCCAAGUGGGCCAUUUUUGGUAAGCAGAACUGGCGCUGUGGGAUGAACCAAACGUCGAGUUAAAGCGCCCAAAUCGACGCUUAUGGGAUACCAUGAAAGGCGUUGGUAACUUAAGACAGCA